CCUACGGGUGGCUGCAGUGGGGAAUAUUGGGCAAUGGGCGCAAGUCUGACCCAGCAACGCCGCGUGAAGGAAGAAGGCUUUCGGGUUGUAAACUUCUUUGACAGGGGAAGAGUAGAAGACGGUACCCUGAAAACAAGCCACGGCUAACUACGUGCCAGCAGCCGCGGUAAUACGUAGGUGGCAAGCGUUGUCCGGAUUUACUGGGUGUAAAGGGCGUGUAGCCGGGUCGGCAAGUCAGAUGUGAAAUCUGGAGGCUUAACCUCCAAACUGCAUUUGAAACUGUUGGUCUUGAGUAUCGGAGAGGUAAUCGGAAUUCCUAGUGUAGCGGUGAAAUGCGUAGAUAUUAGGAAGAACACCAGUGGCGAAGGCGGAUUACUGGACGACAACUGACGCUGAGGCGCGAAAGCGUGGGGAGCAAACAGGCUUAGAUACCCGUGUAGUC
rnacentral:rRNA from 1 species